rnacentral:rRNA from 1 species
AAGACCUUGCACUUUUGGAGCGGCCGAUGUCUGAUUAGCUAGUUGGUGGGGUAAUGGCCUACCAAAGCUUCGAUCAGUAGCUGGUCUGAGAGGACGGCCAGCCACACUGGGACUGAGACACGGCCCAGACUCCUACGGGAGGCAGCAGUGGGGAAUUUUGGACAAUGGGCGCAAGCCUGAUCCAGCCAUGCCGCGUGAGUGAAGAAGGCCUUCGGGUUGUAAAGCUCUUUCAGCCGGGAAGAAAAGGUUGCGACUAAUAAUUGCAAUCCAUGACGGUACCGAAAGAAGAAGCACCGGCUAACUACGUGCCAGCAGCCGCGGUAAUACGUAGGGUGCGAGCGUUAAUCGGAAUUACUGGGCGUAAAGGGUGCGCAGGCGGUUUUGUAAGUCAGAUGUGAAAUCCCCGGGCUUAACCUGGGAACU